rnacentral:ncRNA from 1 species
GAAUAAUACAUAAAAUCAGGUGUCGUUAGACUUGAUAGAGAAGCCGGAAAAAAGCCGGCGCGGUCCCGCCACUGUAUUGGGGAGCUAAUUUGUAAUUUUGCCACUGAAGGGGGAAAAGCCUCUUUGGGAAGGCGCAAUGCAGCUAUGAGCCAGAGCCAGGAGAACUGCCUGAUUUAUAAUCACCGU